GAGAUGUUGGGUUAAGUCCCGUAACGAGCGCAACCCUUGUCCUUAGUUACCAGCACGUUAUGGUGGGCACUCUAAGGAGACUGCCGGUGACAAACCGGAGGAAGGUGGGGAUGACGUCAAGUCAUCAUGGCCCUUACGGCCUGGGCUACACACGUGCUACAAUGGUCGGUACAAAGGGUUGCCAAGCCGCGAGGUGGAGCUAAUCCCAUAAAACCGAUCGUAGUCCGGAUCGCAGUCUGCAACUCGACUGCGUGAAGUCGGAAUCGCUAGUAAUCGUGAAUCAGAAUGUCACGGUGAAUACGUUCCCGGGCCUU
rnacentral:rRNA from 1 species